rnacentral:rRNA from 1 species
CGUGUAGGCGGACUCGCAAGUCGGUCGUGAAAUCCCUGGGCUCAACCUAGGAACUGCAUCCGAAACUGCUUGUCUUGAGUAAUGGAGAGGGUGGCGGAAUUCCCGGUGUAGAGGUGAAAUUCGUAGAUAUCGGGAGGAACAUCAGUGGCGAAGGCGGCCACCUGGACAUUUACUGACGCUGAGACGCGAAAGCGUGGGGAGCAAACAGGAUUAGAUACCCUGGUAGUCC